CAUAACCUCCGUGAAAGCGUGGGGAUAAUUCCGGAUAACGCAUAUUUGCUGGAAUGCUUUAUGCGUCAAAAGGAUUCGUCUGCCCAAGGAUGGGUCUGCGGCCUAUCAGGUAGUAGUGGGUGUAAUGUACCUACUAGCCAGCGACGGGUACGGGUUGUGAGAGCAAGAGCCCGGAGAUGGAUUCUGAGACAUGAAUCCAGGCCCUACGGGGCGCAGCAGGCGCGAAAACUUUACAAUGCGGGAAACCGUGAUAAGGGGACACCGAGUGCCAGCAUCAUAUGCUGGCUGUCCGGAUGUGUAAAAUACAUCCGUUAGCAAGGGCCGGGCAAGACCGGUGCCAGCCGCCGCGGUAACACCGGCGGCCCGAGUGGUGAUCGUGAUUAUUGGGUCUAAAGGGUCCGUAGCCGGUUUGGUCAGUCCUCCGGGAAAUCUGAUAGCUCAACUAUUAGGCUUUCGGGGGAUACUGCCAGACUUGGAACCGGGAGAGGUAAGAGGUACUACAGGGGUAGGAGUGAAAUCUUGUAAUCCCUGUGGGACCACCUGUGGCGAAGGCGUCUUACCAGAACGGGUUCGACGGUGAGGGACGAAAGCUGGGGGCACGAACCGGAUUAGAUACCCGGGUAGUCCCAGCCGUAAACGAUGCUCGCUAGGUGUCAUGCAUGGCGCGACCGUGUCUGGUGCCGCACGGAAGCCGUGAAGCGAGCCACCUGGGAAGUACGGCCGCAAGGCUGAAACUUAAAGGAAUUGGCGGGGGAGCACAACAACGGGUGGAGCCUGCGGUUUAAUUGGACUCAACGCCGGACAACUCACCGGGGGCGACAGCAAUAUGUAGGCCAAGCUGAAGACUUUGCCUGAAUCGCUGAAAGGAGUGCAU
rnacentral:rRNA from 1 species